ACGGUGGAUGCCUUGGCACUAGAAGCCGAUGAAGGACGUUACUAACGACGAUAUGCUUUGGGGAGCUGUAAGUAAGCUUUGAUCCAGAGAUUUCCGAAUGGGGAAACCCAGCAUGAGUUAUGUCAUGUUAUCGAUAUGUGAAUACAUAGCAUAUCAGAAGGCACACCCGGAGAACUGAAACAUCUUAGUACCCGGAGGAAGAGAAAGAAAAUUCGAUUCCCUUAGUAGCGGCGAGCGAAACGGGAAGAGCCCAAACCAACAAGCUUGCUUGUUGGGGUUGUAGGACACUCUAUACGGAGUUACAAAGGACGACAUUAGACGAAUCAUCUGGAAAGAUGAAUCAAAGAAGGUAAUAAUCCUGUAGUCGAAAAUGUUGUCUCUCUUGAGUGGAUCCUGAGUACGACGGAGCACGUGAAAUUCCGUCGGAAUCUGGGAGGACCAUCUCCUAAGGCUAAAUACUCUCUAGUGACCGAUAGUGAACCAGUACCGUGAGGGAAAGGUGAAAAGCACCCCGGAAGGGGAGUGAAAUAGAACCUGAAACCGUGUGCUUACAAGUAGUCAGAGCCCGUUAAUGGGUGAUGGCGUGCCUUUUGUAGAAUGAACCGGCGAGUUACGAUUUGAUGCAAGGUUAAGCAGUAAAUGUGGAGCCGUAGCGAAAGCGAGUCUGAAUAGGGCGUUUAGUAUUUGGUCGUAGACCCGAAACCAGGUGAUCUACCCUUGGUCAGGUUGAAGUUCAGGUAACACUGAAUGGAGGACCGAACCGACUUACGUUGAAAAGUGAGCGGAUGAACUGAGGGUAGCGGAGAAAUUCCAAUCGAACCUGGAGAUAGCUGGUUCUCUCCGAAAUAGCUUUAGGGCUAGCCUCAAGUGAUGAUUAUUGGAGGUAGAGCACUGUUUGGACGAGGGGCCCCUCUCGGGUUACCGAAUUCAGACAAACUCCGAAUGCCAAUUAAUUUAACUUGGGAGUCAGAACAUGGGUGAUAAGGUCCGUGUUCGAAAGGGAAACAGCCCAGACCACCAGCUAAGGUCCCAAAAUAUAUGUUAAGUGGAAAAGGAUGUGGCGUUGCCCAGACAACUAGGAUGUUGGCUUAGAAGCAGCCAUCAUUUAAAGAGUGCGUAAUAGCUCACUAGUCGAGUGACACUGCGCCGAAAAUGUACCGGGGCUAAACAUAUUACCGAAGCUGUGGAUUGUCCUUUGGACAAUGGUAGGAGAGCGUUCUAAGGGCGUUGAAGCAUGAUCGUAAGGACAUGUGGAGCGCUUAGAAGUGAGAAUGCCGGUGUGAGUAGCGAAAGACGGGUGAGAAUCCCGUCCACCGAUUGACUAAGGUUUCCAGAGGAAGGCUCGUCCGCUCUGGGUUAGUCGGGUCCUAAGCUGAGGCCGACAGGCGUAGGCGAUGGAUAACAGGUUGAUAUUCCUGUACCACCUAUA
rnacentral:rRNA from 1 species